UAGUGUUGUAAGAGUUCCCUCCUGAAAAGGAUGAUGCUGCCUAUUGGCAGGCGUGACGAAGUAGGGUGGGGUUCACUA
rnacentral:sRNA from 12 species